rnacentral:rRNA from 1 species
ACGGGUGAGUAACACGUGGGAACGUGCCCUUCGGUUCGGAAUAACUCAGGGAAACUUGAGCUAAUACCGGAUGCGCCCUUAUGGGGAAAGGUUUACUGCCGAAGGAUCGGCCCGCGUCUGAUUAGCUUGUUGGUGGGGUAACGGCCUACCAAGGCGACGAUCAGUAGCUGGUCUGAGAGGAUGAUCAGCCACACUGGGACUGAGACACGGCCCAGACUCCUACGGGAGGCAGCAGUGGGGAAUAUUGGACAAUGGGCGCAAGCCUGAUCCAGCCAUGCCGCGUGAGUGAUGAAGGCCUUAGGGUUGUAAAGCUCUUUUGUCCGGGACGAUAAUGACGGUACCGGAAGAAUAAGCCCCGGCUAACUUCGUGCCAGCAGCCGCGGUAAUACGAAGGGGGCUAGCGUUGCUCGGAAUCACUGGGCGUAAAGGGCGCGUAGGCGGCCGAUUAAGUCGGGGGUGAAAGCCUGUGGCUCAACCACAGAAUUGCCUUCGAUACUGGUUGGCUUGAGACCGGAAGAGGACAGCGGAACUGCGAGUGUAGAGGUG